rnacentral:lncRNA from 1 species
UUUUUUUUUUGGUGCUGAGGGCGGAACCUAGGGCUUCAUGGAUGCUAGCACUUUACUGCCUACAGUUGACAGUCUUUUUUUUUUUUUUUAAGAUUUAUUUAUUAUUAUAUAUGAGUACACUGUUGCUGUCUUCAGACACACCAGAAGAGGGCAUCAGAUCCCAUUACAGAUAGCUGUGAGCCACCAUGUGGUUGCUGGGAUUUGAACUCAGGACCUCUGGAAGAGCAGUCAGUGUUCUUAACCGCUGAGCCAUCUCUCCAGCCCUAUCUUGAAAUUUCUAAUGUAAAUGUUUUUAUGAGCUUAUGAACUUUGUUAUAUACUGCUGAUUUUUCAUACCCAUGCCUAAAUUGCUCAUCUUUUUCUGGAUUGUAGUUAUUUUCCUUUUUUUUAAAUUUAGUCUGGAUUCAUUCUCUUUGUUUUUGUUUUUGUUUUUCAGUGCCAGGCUAAUAUCAGACUCAGGGCUUUACCCAUCAGCUCCACCUCUAGCUCUUGCGUUAGGUUAGUUUGGGAGAUUUCAUUAUAUUCCUGAGCAAGGGUUCAAGCCGUUUCCUUCUCACUGGGAGGUGAGCCAGUUUUAGAGCUCUUGCCAAGCAUGUCUCAAGCCUUGGACUCUGGGUUUGAAUCCUAGUUUCCUUUAUCUUACUGUCUGGACUUAAGCUUUUCUUCACCUAGAACUUGCUUUGUCCCAGGCUGUUCUUGAAAUUAAGAGAUCUGCUUGCCUCAGUCUCCUGGGAUUAAAGGUGUGUAUCACCAUGCCUGGACCUAAAUUUAGAUGGGUGAGAUCUUGCCCCAAAGUCCCACUCUCUUAAUCUGUUAACUCCUAGAACAUAGAAUCCAGCUCCAUUCUACUUCCUUUAAUACUUGAACCAUAUAUUUUGUAGUUUUGCUUUCUCAGCUUGUUUCUUUUGAUUAAAAUGUUCUUCAUAAGAUUGGACUUCAGUAACCACCCAACAGAAUUUAUACCAGGCUCUUUUGAGACUUCCUUUUUCAAAGCAACUAAUCUAAAUCUCUUUACUUUAGCCUUAGGCAGGCUCUUCAGAUAAAAGCAGCCACAUUCUUCACUAAUAUACCACAAAAACACUCUCUAGGACACAUGCUGAAGUUCUUCUCCACUGAACCUUCUUGGGCCAGGUCUGCAUAGUUCAAGUUACUCUCAGCAACAAAGUCUUCCCAUAUUUCUACUCGGAUGGCUCAUUAAGUCCCACUUAAAGCAUUCCAUUGCUUUCCAAAUCCAAAGUCCCCAAAUCCACAUUCUUCCAAACAGAAGCAUGGUCAGGCCUAUCACAGCAGUACCCCAGUCCCCGGUACCAACUUCUGUCUUAGUUAGGGUUUUACUGCUGUGAGCAGACACUAUGACCAAGGCAACUCUUCUAAGGACAACAUUAAAUUGGGGCUGGCUUACAGGUUCAGAGAUUCAGUCCAUUAUCAUUAAGGAGGGAGCAUGGCAGCAUCCAGGCAGGCAUGGCACAGGAGGAGCUGAGAGUUCUACAUCUUCAUCUGGAGGUGCUAGUAGAAUAUUGACUUCCAGGCAGCUAGAAUGAGGGUCUUAAAGCCCACACCCACAGUGACACACCUACUUCAGCAGGACCACACCUUCUAAUAGUGCCAUUCCCUGGCCUGAGCAUGUGCGAACCAUCACAAGUAUCUCAACAAAGAAGUAGUAAUUCUGUCUGCUUAAGAUAGAGAUUGAGAUCAGGUUUAAAUAUAUUAGUUCUAUCUGUUUGUCUGUCUGUCUAUCUGCCUAUCUGUCUGUCUAUCUGCCUAUCUGUCUGUCUAUCUAUCUAUCGAUCUAUCUAUCUGCCUAUCUAUCUAUCUAUCUAUCUAUCUAUCUAUCUAUCUAUCUAUCUAUCUAUCUAUCUUAUUUAUCUGCCUAUCUAUCUAUCUAUCUAUCUAUCUAUCUAUCUGCCUAUCUAUCUAUCUAUCUAUCUAUUUAUCUGCCUGUCUGUCUGUCUAUCUAUCUAUCUAUCUAUCUAUCUAUCUAUCUAUCUAUCCUUUAGAUUCAAACUGUGAGACCUGUCUGUAAAUGACUGUUUUGCCCGGAAUAAUCAUUAUUGUUCUGAUUCUCCUAUACCAGAUGCCUGUGCCACUGUACCCCACCACCCCCUUUCCAUAGCCCAGCUUCUCGGGACAUUACCAGAUGCCCAUAGAGAGAGGAAUUUCUCCUGACUUAGAAUUCUUUUCUUGAGGUGCGGCUGAGAGCCGGAGAGUUGUGUUGUGCUUCAGGAGGCUCUGAAUUCACCAUGAAGAACAGGGAAUAUAUAUGUGAACCCUCUUGGUCUUUUAUCUGUGGAAUUCAUAACCCUCCUGAAAUAUUCCAAUUUAUUAGUCUCUAGUCCUACUUCUUGAUUGUUCCCCCAUUCCUCUGGAGUUUAUCUACUUUGGGAGGCCAGGGUUUAUAAAAUAUAAUAAGGGCAUAGAAGGAAGGUUUUCUAAAGUAAGUCUUUCCAGCAGUCCAUCAGAUACUUGGGCAGAGAACUACAUAAAGGCAAAUGCACUAAUAGCCCUGAGCUCUGUUAUCUAUUUUAUACAAUUUGUAGUUAAAAAAUAACAAUUUGGCCUAUUGUCUUAAAAUUUGGUCAGACAGAAGAACCUAUUAAUUAAAAGAUGUUAAAUUUCAAUGAAUAUUUGGCCUUAAAUUACUAUUAAAUUUUUUAUUCUUAGUUUAUAUUUUGAAAUUGGGAUUUUGUGGAGUUUCCAAGUUCUAACUUUUAAGUCAUUUUCACUGAGGACAGCACUACUCUCUGGGGUUGUCUGGGAAACUUGUUGAAUCUUUGUAUAAUGUGUAAC